AAUAAGACCAAUGUGUUUCCAUUGGCUUAUUUUGGACCUAAGCUUGUCUCCUGUCUUCCCACUUUUAGGACGACUCCCAUUGAGACAUGAACAUCUCAUCCUUAUAUACAGGUCUCUGUUUGCAGUCAAAUUUCUUUACGCGGAAGAGAGCCUGAUGCUCGUGAUUUUGCACAUCCCAUGUAAUGUAACUGGUAACAAUGACUAGCACGCGGUAAAUUGUUGCGUGAGUGGGUCGCUUGAGCGUGCUGGCAGCAUAUGGCAGCAGUUCGAUUGUGCGUCAAGAAUUCAGCAUAGCAAGUUUUUGUGAAUGUCUGGUUAUUAAAUGGGUAAAUAGUUUAAUCCAUUUCAUGAAUUUAUUCACAGGUAACGCUCUCGUGACAAACACACUUUGUUGCCCUGUUUCCAAUCGUCCACAUGUCUGGGAGAACCUAUUAAUUUUUCUGUCCUCAGAUACAGAGAGCUGUGAAAGCCUGUCUGCAGAUGAAGAGGUCCCAAUGAAGAGCAGUGGUUCUCAGUCCUGGUCCUGGGGACUGGACCUGUUUUUGCCUUAGCUCUGAUUCAAAUGAUCAAGUCAUCAUCAAGCUUCAAGUGAUACCUUGUAACUGGAGAUUCCUUCAAAAUGAUUGCCUACAGUUACCGUGUAGGGCACUGCAAGGUUGGGUGACCAGAGCCAUCUGGGACUGCCUCCUGGAGGAAUUCAGGCGUUUGAAGGCUACCUGUGUCGUGCAUAACUUCAUGAGGAUGGACACGAGGACCAGGAGGGGGAUGUGCAGCUCGCCACCGUGUGCCAGAGGAGAGGUCUGCUGCUCUACAGUAUGUUUCAAUGAUUGGGGCCAACAACGCAGCAUGGGAGGAAAUCCGUGUGCGGGAUAUCUUCACCUCCUACUUCUUCAGAGGGUGCUGUUCCCUGGCAAUCCCAUAGACUACAAUGCACAACCAAAGGCUAUUUUAAGAGCCAUCCACAUUGCAAUAAGAGUAUUCUUCCAUUUACUUAGCUAUGUCAACUGCAGUUUUUAAAUUCCCAGUUUCUCUCCUUUUGAUUUCUACUUCUCAGGUGAGGGUGCUGUUCAGGUAAGGGUGAUGUCUGUACAAAACCAAAACAGGCUCUUAAGAGUCCCCCAUAUUGAGAAAAUGUUGAACAAUUAGACACCCUAUAAUAUAAUAUAGGAAGUAUUAUUAAAAAUAUGCUUUACAUUGAAAUACAGAUAGAGAUGUAGUAGUCCCAAGAGUUAAUGAUAGGGAGGGUUUUGCAUUACACCUCAAGAUGAUUAUGAUGACUGACAGUGUUAGCACGAUUAAGCCUUUUUAAAAUUCUAUAUCUCUCCAUCUGUCUCGUCAGCAGGUAUGUUUUGAUGUGAGAGAGGAUGCCACCCCCAGUCCCGUCAUCACCCGCUCUUAAGAUAACCUUAAGGACAACUGGGGACCCAAAGCUGGUUAGGAGACACCACUAGAGACACUUAUGUACUUGUGAUGAACUGAGACAAUAUUAGGGUAGCACUGUAAUUCAUUAAACAUAUGCUGUCUUCCCUGCUCCUCAAUUCUUACUUCUUUCCCCUUCUGUCUUUUACACUCUUUCUCACACCUCUCUACCCACCUCUUUCUUCCUCUGUUUUUAUAAUGAACACCAGAUGUGCAUUGAAGUACAGAUUGAACUUGUAUUUAUAAUAUGAUAUUACAAUUAGAAUAUUUAUAAUGGAUAUAUUAUGUAUUUAUAACACUUGGAUAAUGAACUUCUUUCAAUAAAGUGUUUCACAUUC